rnacentral:rRNA from 1 species
UUGGAGGGCAAGUCUGGUGCCAGCAGCCGCGGUAAUUCCAGCUCCAAUAGCGUAUAUUAAAGUUGUUGCAGUUAAAAAGCUCGUAGUUGAACUUCGGGGUUCACCCAUUGGUCAGGCUUAAUUGUCUGCACUGGUGAGAUGAGUCUCUACCUUCUGAGGAACUUUCAUGUCAUUAAUUUGGUGUGAUUGGAAAUCAGGACUGUUACUUUGAAAAAAUUAGAGUGUUUAAAGCAGGCUAACGUCUGAAUACAUUAGCAUGGAAUAAUGAAAUAGGACGGACUGAUUCUAUUUCGUUGGCUUCUAGGAUCACCGUAAUGAUUAAUAGGGAUAGUUGGGGGCAUUAGUAUUCAAUUGUCAGAGGUGAAAUUCUUGGAUUUAUUGAAGACUAACUACUGCGAAAGCAUUUGCCAAGGAUGUUUUCAUUAAUCAAGAACGAAAGUUAGGGGAUCGAAGACGAUCAGAUACCGUCGUAGUCUUAACCAUAAACUAUGCCGACUAGGGAUCGGACGAAGUUAAUUUUAUAAUGACGCGUUCGGCGCCUUACGGGAAAC